UACAGAGGUGGCAAGCGUCGUUCGGAAUUACUGGGCGUAAAGGGCGCGUAGGUGGCCGUCUAAGUCAGACGUGAAAUCCCCAGGCUUAACUUGUGAACUGCGUCUGAUACUGGAAGGCUUAAGUUCGGGAGAGGGAUGUGGAAUUCCAGGUGUAGCGGUGAAAUGCGUAGAUAUCUGGAGGAACACCGGUGGCGAAGGCGGCAUCCUGGACCGAAACUGACACUGAGGCGCGAAAGCCAGGGGAGCAGACGGG
rnacentral:rRNA from 1 species